UAAUACGGAGGGUGCAAGCGUUAUCCGGAUUUAUUGGGUUUAAAGGGUCCGUAGGCGGAUCUGUAAGUCAGUGGUGAAAUCUCACAGCUUAACUGUGAAACUGCCAUUGAUACUGCAGGUCUUGAGUAAAUUUGAAGUGGCUGGAAUAAGUAGUGUAGCGGUGAAAUGCAUAGAUAUUACUUAGAACACCAAUUGCGAAGGCAGGUCACUAAGAUUUAACUGACGCUGAGGGACGAAAGCGUGGGGAGCGAACAGGAUUAGAUACCCUGGUAGUCCACGCCGUAAACGAUGCUAACUCGUUUUUGGGUUUUCGGAUUCAGAGACUAAGCGAAAGUGAUAAGUUAGCCACCUGGGGAGUACGUUCGCAAGAAUGAA
rnacentral:rRNA from 1 species